CCUACGGGUGGCAGCAGUGGGGAAUAUUGGACAAUGGGCGAAAGCCUGAUCCAGCCAUGCCGCGUGUGUGAAGAAGGCCUUCGGGUUGUAAAGCACUUUCAGUGGGGAAGAAAGCCUUGGGGCUAAUACCCUCGAGGAAGGACAUCACCCACAGAAGAAGCACCGGCUAACUCCGUGCCAGCAGCCGCGGUAAUACGGAGGGUGCGAGCGUUAAUCGGAAUUACUGGGCGUAAAGCGCGCGUAGGCGGUCUGAUAAGCCGGUUGUGAAAGCCCCGGGCUCAACCUGGGAACGGCAUCCGGAACUGUCAGGCUAGAGUGCAGGAGAGGAAGGUAGAAUUCCCGGUGUAGCGGUGAAAUGCGUAGAGAUCGGGAGGAAUACCAGUGGCGAAGGCGGCCUUCUGGACUGACACUGACGCUGAGGUGCGAAAGCGUGGGUAGCAAACAGGAUUAGAUACCCUGGUAGC
rnacentral:rRNA from 1 species